CUGUGUGCGGCUGAUGACAGCAGUGCUGCUGAGACUCUGUGAUUGCUUCGUCUCAAAGUAAACGCCCUGACGCACUGUGG
rnacentral:snoRNA from 1 species